GACGAACGCUGGCGGCGUGGAUUAGGCAUGCAAGUCGAACGGUAUCAUCCUUUCGGGGGUGAGAGAGUGGCGAACUGGUGAGUAACACGUAGGUUAUCUACCCUCAAGACGGGGACAACCCAGGGAAACUUGGGCUAAUACCGGAUGUGAGCAACUUUUAGUUGUUUGAAAGGUGGCGUAAGCUGUCGCUUGGGGAUGAGCCUGCGUCCUAUUAGUUAGUUGGUGAGGUAACGGCUCACCUAGGCAAUGAUAGGUAGGCGGCCUUAACGGGUGGUCGCCCACACUGGGAUUGAGAUACGGCCCAGACUCCUACGGGAGGCAGCAGUCGAGAAUAGUCUACAAUGGUCGGAAGACUGAUAGUGCGACGCCGCGUGAACGAUGAAUCCCUUCGGGGUGUAAAGUUCUUUUAUAUGUGAGCAGUGCUUCUUAUAUUAACAGUAUGGGGAGAGAGAUAUUAGCAUAUGAAUAAGCGACGGCUAACUCCGUGCCAGCAGCCGCGGUAAAACG
rnacentral:rRNA from 1 species